UACGUAGGGUGCGAGCGUUAAUCGGAAUUACUGGGCGUAAAGCGUGCGCAGGCGGUUUUGUAAGACAGAGGUGAAAUCCCCGGGCUCAACCUGGGAACUGCCUUUGUGACUGCAAGGCUUGAGUGCGGCAGAGGGGGAUGGAAUUCCGCGUGUAGCAGUGAAAUGCGUUGAUAUCGACAGGAACGCCGGUGGCGAAAGCAAUCCCCUGGGCCUGCACUGACGCUCAUGCACGAAAGCGUGGGGAGCAAACAGG
rnacentral:rRNA from 1 species